rnacentral:lncRNA from 1 species
GUUACCGAGCGGCCGGCGCUGGGGUGGCAGGGGCGGGGCUCGCCGAAUUCCCGGUUCUGGGCGGGUGGGCCCGCCGGCUCCGGCCUGGUUUCCCCUACCUGUGGCGGGGAGUGAGGAAAGCCGGCCCUCGGGUAAAGGACCCUAACUUUUUUUUUUUUUUUUGAGACGGAGUCUCGCUCUGUCGCCCAGGCUGGACUGCCGUGGCGCGAUCUCGGAUCACUGCAACCUCCGCCUCCCGGGUUCAAGCGAUUCCCCUGCCUCAGCCUCCCGAGCAGCUGGGGUUACAGGCGCGCACCACCACGCCCCGCUAAUUUUUGUAUUUUUAGUAGAGACGAAAUUUCGCCAUGUUGGCCAGGAUGGUUUCAAACUCCUGACCUCAGGUGAUCCGCCCUGGGAUUACAGACGUGAGCCACCGCACCUGGCCAACGUUUUAACAGCCUUUAGCCAAAGCCUGGGUGCAGCUCCAGUUGAGAGGGAGCGGCUGUUGCCGGGGCAACUGCUCCCGCUCGGGGCAGCGAGGGCCGGUCAGUCUCGAGAAUUAAGACGGAGGGCCUCCUCGGACCCUACAGAGUUGUUUGAAUAACAUUUUUCCGUUUGUGGGAACCCUAACCCUAAUCCACUUUGUGCUGUCCCAGGACUCGCAUAGAGGAGUGCAGGUUCUGAUCCCUGCUGGGAAGAAAAAUGAUUAGGACUGUAAAGCCUUCUAGCUCCCUCUUGCCAAAGAGAGGCUGGUCACAGAGGCGGGAGACAGUCUGUUGAGCGGGGAGCUGACCAUCUGAGGACAGACACUGAGGAAGGAGGAUGGAAUGAUUUUGGCAGUGAAUGACAAUUCCUUCAACAAGACCCCCCCCCCCCACUCACUUCAAAGAAACAGUGGACAGGAUGUGCUUUCCAAAAUACUGCAGUUUAAUUCUGAAAAACUCAAAUGCAAGAGGCCCAGAGCUGUCUAUGGGAUUGGAUCUCCUGCAACCUGCCUUGGGCCCCAGAAGAGACUGGCAAUGUCAGCCUCCUCCCUGCUCUGCCUGAGGGAGGCCACGGAGAACUUCCUUAUCGGGCCCAAACUGGAGCCGCUGACUGCUCAGAGCAAGAUUUCUGCCUUGAAAGCAAAUGCAGUAGCCUCAGAAAUGUGCAGCGCAUACUUCUUCCUCCCCCUCUCCCCCUCCAGGCCGGCAGAGCUGCAGUAAAGAUGCCUGCAGGUCAUGACCUCAUGUUUCCUGUCCACUUCCCAUGGCAGGGAUCGGAGCUUUGGGAGAUAUGUGACCAAGGAGGACACAUGAACUUGCUACCCCUCUCUCUACCCCAGACAUACCCACAUGACUUUGUUUUACUCAUAUUGCAUUGGUUUAACUCGGAAAUGGGUGACCUCCCACCACCUAACCUGACUCAGUAGGAGGGGAGGUAAAGCAGUUUAGGCCCUGGUAUCUGUUUGAGAAGUUAAAGGAAAGGGCAUGGGUGGUCAGGGAGGAGGCAGAGCUUGGGGUCAAAGGGAUACAUGUCAGGGGAGGUUUGCUUAAUCUUGUCUCCCACCAGCUCCAGGAGCCAGGGAUUUCUCUUUUUUUUCACAACACAUUCCAAACCUAGGAAAGGGAUUUCUCCUUAUCUGGCUCUUAACCCAGGAGGGCUAAACACUUCAGCUGCUUGAAGAAAUCGCCUGUGGAGCUGCAUGCCUGCCAAAGGAUUGGGAUAAGACACAUCUAGCCUGGGCAUGGUGCCUUCUGCGUGUAAUCCCAGUACUUUGGGAGGCCGAGGCCGGCAGGUUGCUUGAGCUCAGGAAUUCAAGACCAGCCUGGGCAACAUGGCGAAACCCUGUGUCUACAAAAAAUACAAAAAUUAGCCAGGUGUGAUGGUACACACCUAUAGUCCCAGCUACUUCGGCGGCUGAGGUGGGAGGAUCGCUUGAGCCCCAGGGAGUGGAGGUUGUAGUGAGCGGAGAUUGCACUACUGCACCUCAGCCUGGGCGACAGAACGAGACUCCAUUUCAAAAAAAUAAAAACAAAACUCUUUUCCUAGUUCUGACCUGAGGUUUUUAGGUGCACAGGCAGGAAGGUAGCUAAGCCAGGGAUUCAGGGGGGGGAGGGGCUCCCCCAGGAUCUGAAGUCCAGAGAACAGGAGCCUGGAACCAAUAUUUCCAGGUGCCCCAAUGUGCUUGUGUGCUGGAGAAAAGGGGCAUGCCUCCAGGGGGGUGUUAGUAAGGCCAGAGAUAGCCAGCUAGACCCUACUCUCUGCCCCUUGUCCUCCCCCUCCCAUCUCCAUAUCUCUUAUCUUCCCUGAGGCUUUGGUCUUCCUCACAGCACAAGGGCCCACUUAUUUGGGAGAUGGGGCGAAGAUAAGCUCCUGGAGAGCGGGAGACAGUGAAGGCUGGGGUCACCUGAGCCUCUGUCCAGCUGAACUGAGGGUGCGAUGGAGUCAUUACCUGCCCUCACCCCCAAAGUGCAUCUGUGUCCCCUGGGGCUGAGCUGGAGCAACACCACCUUUGUUAUGCUUAGGAGGGAGGGCCGGCCCCCCAAGUCCUAGAAAGCAAAAGGGCCACUAGCUCCCAGCCUCGGUUUUUUGGGGAUCCAGGCGCCUUUUUUGGUAUUAAAUUAUGUACUAUUAAAAUAAAAGCUAAGUGUUUUACCCUCCCUGUGGAUGCGGGGAGACCGCAGGAACUCAAGUAGGAGUUGGAGUAUAGCUCCCUGCUAGGAAGCGGCUGUGCAGUGAGUCCUCCAUCUUUCUCCCCAUUGGCUCAGCCUCUUGGAAUAAGCCAGGCCUGGGAGGGGGAAGGCUGCAUCCUGUGUGCCUCCAGAGCCUCCUCUCUGCCCCCUGGGAUUCACAUGAAGGAGCAGCAGCUGGAGCGCUUCUUCUGGGACUCUACAUAGUCUCGGAUCUGGAAGCUGGGCUCAUCCGCCUGAUGCCCGGCCCGGUAUUUCAGUUCCCUUGAAGAAGAGACAAUGGGCUGGGCUGGGCUGGGCUGGGCUGGGGUGAGGAGCUGAGCCGCCCCCUCCCCUCUCCCAGUGGCCCAGUGCUCCCAGAGCAAAUGGACCUCAGCCUGCAGAAUGCAGGUGUGUCCAGGGGCUGGGCCAGGGGCCGGGCCCUACUGGAUUCCUGGAGUGUGCCGCCCUGCCCCGCACACUUCCCUUCCCUGCCCAGCUCUCACUUGGCGAUGGCCAGAAAGGCUAACUCCACAUUCAUGCCAGUCUUGGCGCUGGUCUCCAGGAAGGGAACACCGU